rnacentral:lncRNA from 1 species
GCGGGCGCCGCUCGCCUCCCGGAGCCCGCCCGCCUCCCGCGCGCGCUCACACUCGCGCCUCGCACACGGCCGCCCCCCGCACCGCCCCGCCACGCACACCGCGCUCGGCGCCCCCCGCCGUCGCCCGAGGCUGCCGCGCGCCGCGCGGGUCACGCCCGCCCCGUCCCAUCGCGCCCCGGCUCUGCGCCGCAGCUCUCGGGUCAGCGGCCUCCGGGUCCCGGCGGGGAGGUGCGGAGGGCAGGGCUAGCGGGAGGGUUGGCGACCGGCGCCAGAAACGCGGAGGCCCGGGGAAGGCAGCGCCGUCCUUGCGCCCUAGCCGAGCCGGGAGCGCUCUGGGCGCUGGGCGCGGCGGGCGCGGGGCGGCGGGCGCGGGGCGGCGGCGGCCCCGGGCGGCUCUCCCACUAGGGGUAGCUGUUGCCUGAACGCCGGAGCGCUCCCCUCUCGCCGCUUGCCUCGGCCGGCGCAGCCCCGGCCGCCGGGCGCACCCGUCCCGUGCGUCCCCGGACGUCGCUGUCUGCCCCGGGAACGUCGGGACUGGAGCGCCCGCGCUGAGCCACCUUCACCGACCCAGAGCGCUGCGGCUCGACUCACCACGGAGGCGCUGGGACGCGGGGAAGUGCGUACUCUCAACGGGGAAUGUGUGUGGAGGCUUUUAGGGGUGCGGGGUAACUCCCCAACUCCAUGGGGGCCCUGGUCGGCUCUGCCGCCGCGUCAGAGAUCUGAUGACUCGCUGCGCGCGGCGCGGGGUCGGCGACUUGGGGCGGCGGGGCGCAGAGUACCGUGACCUGGGGGGUCCCCGAAGCUGGUAGCCAGGUCGCCUCGCCUCGGGCCUCCUUGACCCCUGAGGCGAGGCCUGAACCGGGUCGAGAGCGAUCUUGAUGCCGGGGGAGUCCAGCCCGCCUGGGACGCUCUCGCGGUCGUGGGGACUCGUCUGGGGCGGCGGUGGCUGAGCCCGAGUCCGGCGCCGCCACCGCCGGCGUCCCGUGCGCUCGCUACCCGCCUGGGGACCGGCCGCCUAACUUCUUCCCGGGACGGACACAGCGCUCGCAUCCCGGGCAGAGGUGGAAGCUCGCUGAUCCGGAUUCGGCGAGGGCACCGCUCUCGGCGGCGGCGGCGGCGAGGGAACAAGUCUCGGGGAGUCAACCUAGGGCACCGAGCCCCCACCCAGGACCCGGCGGGCCCCAGCGGGCGCGGAGAGAGAUGCGCGUUUCAGGCAGAGGUCCUCUCCUCCGGUUUUCGCGACCCUGGCGGGACCCUCUGCCCUGCAAACUCCCACCUGGGACCGCGGCUCCGGCAGGUCAAGAUCCCUAGUGGAAGGCAGGUCAGGGGCCUGAAGGUAGACCCUUUUCUCUUUCUCCCAGCCAGGCGAUGCCCCUGCGGCCUGGGGCGGCGGCGUUGGGUGCUGCAGAGCCCGGGAACUUCCCACCCAGAGGAAAGGCCGCUUCAUCCCGGACCCCGCUGUUCUCCGCGCCCCCGGCACUGCCCAUCAGCACCGUGGGUAGGGGUCUUUAGAGCCUCUGCGGGCAGCCCAGGGAGACCACCAACCCAUAGGCCCUUGGGCCCCAGGGAGGCUCAGGUGAGCAGCGCUUGUCCUCCGGACUGUUGGCCGUUCUGGCGGAUCUGCUUCUGUUCCUCGGGCCAGCCGGCUCCACCCCGCGUCUCUGGAUUCCGGGACAUCGGACAUCUGGCUCCCACCACGCCUUGUGCAGGUAACGAAGCUCCCAGCUGCCAGAUAGAUGGAUGCUGAGACUCCCCGUGGGGUGUUCAGGGCCCCCCCUGCAGGAGGGCCCCCCUGGGGCUUCAGGGGGGGAGCAGGGGCAGCCCACACACCUGGCCAAGCGUGUUGAAGAGUGACAGGUGUGUCCUGGCCGUGAGCUUGUCCGGAGGCCUCAGCGCUCCGUCUCCCCAGCCCCCUCCCCGGGCCUCCUGGGGCCCUGGGGGAAUCCCAGCUGCCUUCCUGCCUCUGAGCCUCCGUGCAUACUGUUCCCUCUGCCUCCUCCCUCCCCUGGGACCCGCAGGCCUUCUCCUCGGCCUGCACCUCCCUCUGGGUCAGGCCUGCUCCACCCCCACCGUCUCCCUCCUCGUGGCCGAGGGCCGGGCACCUCUCACUACUGGUCUUGUGUCAGCUGCUGCCCAGACUCUGCCUCUCCCAGGCCGGCCCAGCCAGGAUCCUCCGCAGUGACGAGCCUGCCCCCUGCGCCCCCGAGGAAUCCAAUAAAUCUUUGUGAAACCAGCUACCCGAGUGCA